AUUAGUGUGACUUAGCAAUGAUAACACAUCGAUUCUAAAAAAGAUAUUCUCACUAGCAAAACAGUCGGGUAGAUAGUACAGAGGGUAUCAUAUGAAUUAUCGGUUUCAAAUUAGACAUGAAUGUCAUUUGUGUCUCAAGAUGCUCCUGAAAAUAUUCGCAAUUCAGCUAGGAAUGUGCAAAAAUAGUCGAGGUGGAGAAAUUUCUACUGGUCUCAAUGUAGGAACGACCGAUUGACCGAAGGGAAUGGACCGGAAGUAAA
rnacentral:misc_RNA from 1 species